CUCCCUCCCUCCCUCCCUCCUUCCCUGGUGUUAAUCAAUGGUGUCACAACAGAAACAGAUUUACCUUGGAUCCAGAUUUAAGUCUCUAGCUGAGGGUAUCUCUGGAAGUCCUUGAAAAACUUUUACUUCUGGGUCUGCAACAAGACCUUCUGACAGAGGGCUUCACCAGGGGACACUGGUCAUUUUCAGAUGGAAAAAGUCCCUGUUGCCAUAUCAACUGAAGUCAAAACCAAUGCCCCACUCAAUCAUCCUAUUAGUAUAAGCAUGAACAAUAUUCACAUGAUCUAGCCUCACAAAAACCCAGUAAACUCAAGGAAAUGUUAUGGCAACUUCCAGUCCAACCAUCUAAGAGCCACUCUGGUAGCCACCCUCCAUCACCUGAGCUCAGACUGUGGCCCCUUCUCAGCUGCUUCUCCACACUCACAGGGCUGGACUGGGUUUCCUCACCAGCUCAUCCCCAGCUUUUCCAUGGCAGAGUCUCAGAUGUUCAGUUCCUUCAAACAAUUUAAUAUCAAUCCCAGAACUUCUACUUUGAAAUUAUUGCCAGUGUACACUGAAAUAUUUCUGGAAAGGUAUUGCAUGGGGCUUUGUUUAUUCUAGUAUAAAUAGUUACUUGAAAUAUGCUUCUCUACAGUGACAUAAAAAAGUUAUUUUGUGA